rnacentral:misc_RNA from 1 species
AACGCACCUUGCGCUCCUUGGUAUUCCGAGGAGCAUGCCUGUUUGAGUGUCAUUAAUAUACAUAUAUCAAGCCUUCUCUUGUAGAAGGGUUUGGAUGUGGGGGUUUGCUGGCCUCUUAAUCUUAAGAGUUCAGCUCUCCUGAAAUGCAUUAGCAGAACAACCUUAUGUUCAUUGGUGUGAUAACUAUCUACGCUAUUGAAUGUUGAGGGGGAAGUUCAGCUUUCUAACGGUCCUUGGACAACUCAUCAUUAAUGUGACCUCAAAUCAGGUAGGACUACCCGCUGAACUUAA